rnacentral:lncRNA from 1 species
GUUAAAAUAUCCAAUAAACCAUAUUCAUGGCCGCCAUGAAUUAUUCUUAAUAAAAAAAUUGUUCUUUAAAAAAUCCGAUUUUGGAGCCUUCAUGGGGGAAAUCUCCUGCAAAUAGUGACACUUGGCAGGUAUGACUUUUCACUGUUAUUUUUAUAGCGUAUUUUCUGAGAACAGGCCGUUUGUUGUUAAUCUUGAAUUGUUUCACAUUUUAUUGUUUAGGGGCCUUUUACAGCUUACUUUACGGUGUUGAUACUUGUCCAUUGUUGAAGGCAGGGUUGGGG